UACGUAGGGUGCAAGCGUUGUCCGGAAUUAUUGGGCGUAAAGAGCUCGUAGGCGGUCUGUCGCGUCGGAUGUGAAAAUCCAGGGCUCAACCCUGGACCUGCAUUCGAUACGGGCAGACUAGAGUUCGGUAGGGGAGACUGGAAUUCCUGGUGUAGCGGUGAAAUGCGCAGAUAUCAGGAGGAACACCGGUGGCGAAGGCGGGUCUCUGGGCCGACACUGACACUGAGGAGCGAAAGCCAGGGGAGCAAACGGG
rnacentral:rRNA from 1 species